GGGAAGAAAACAGGAUGCAGUAGAGGGAGAAGUGGAGUAUGGUGCAUGCCCAAGGAUAUAUACACAAGGACGAGGAACUCUGGAGCUGGAAUGGCCUUUCGAAACUCUCUUCCCUGAGGAGCAGACAGCCUGCCCAACAGUCAUUGUGUUGAUUCAUGACUACAACCCCAAAAUACGGCACUUCUGCCUGUGUGGAAACAACAGAAGCAGGAAGAUUACUCUCAUUUUUCUCUGGCCUUUUUCCCUUGAAGCAGACUAUAAAGAAGAAUCUGACCUUCCUCUGAAGGAAACCUUCAUUCCAGACAUACCCUCCCUAUAUCCAAAGAACAUCUUUAUCUUUAAAGACACAGAGAUGUCAAGAAGAAUCUGAACAAACAGGCUUUGCCAGAUCCCCCAGUUUACUAAUAUUGAACCAUACUCUUUUGUUCUUCAAUCAUACUUCUGCAUGAUGUCCAUAAAAAUACACAGUUUUCCCCAUUCCUUUUGGGUAUUUAUUCCCGAAAGCUUCUGUGUCAUGUAAAACUUACAUUAAAUAAAUUUGUAUGCUUUU
rnacentral:lncRNA from 1 species